rnacentral:rRNA from 1 species
GAUGAACGCUGGCGGCGUGCCUAAUACAUGCAAGUCGAGCGAACAGACGAGGAGCUUGCUCCUUCGACGUUAGCGGCGGACGGGUGAGUAACACGUAGGUAACCUACCUAUAAGACUGGGAUAACUUCGGGAAACCGGAGCUAAUACCGGAUAAUAUUUCGAACCGCAUGGUUCGAUAGUGAAAGAUGGCUUUGCUAUCACUUAUAGAUGGACCUGCGCCGUAUUAGCUAGUUGGUAAGGUAACGGCUUACCAAGGCAACGAUACGUAGCCGACCUGAGAGGGUGAUCGGCCACACUGGAACUGAGACACGGUCCAGACUCCUACGGGAGGCAGCAGUAGGGAAUCUUCCGCAAUGGGCGAAAGCCUGACGGAGCAACGCCGCGUGAGUGAUGAAGGUCUUCGGAUCGUAAAACUCUGUUAUUAGGGAAGAACAAACGUGUAAGUAACUGUGCACGUCGUGACGGUACCUAAUCAGAAAGCCACGGCUAACUACG